rnacentral:tRNA from 1 species
GGGUCGUUAGCUCAGUGGCAGAGCAAUUGGCUUUUAACCAAUUGGUCGUAGGUUCGAAUCCUACACGUCCCA